UGAUACAGAGGGACAGCUUAACUAUUAAAUAUCCAUCACGCCACGCCACAUCAGUCCUAAUGCAAUCAGAAACACAUGACUACAUCGCUCGGGCCCCCGCUUCCAUCCACAAUGAUUAAGAGAAGUUUCUGCUUCAUAAUGCAGUCCACCAGUUCCAAGCAGAGCUGAUAGUCACCAUCCAUCAGUAUGACAACACAGGGAUCAUGCAGUUAAAUGACAGUGCUUGACACACAGGAAUUGAUGGAAGAGAGAAGGGAGCAGAAAAG